rnacentral:sRNA from 1 species
UAAAUAAAAUGUGGGCAUCAAUAGUAAUUUUUAAAUUUAAAGUUUUAAACCGGUAAUUGUAUGCACUUAUUAGACGUAGGAAGAUUUGCAAAAGUACCAUUUUUCUACUACAUCAUGCAACAAUACCUUUUUCAACAAUCUUUUGCAAUAAUACCAUUUUCUGUUGUCCAUUUUUAAAAAUACUCAUUCUCUUGAACAAAAUAACCAAAUUACCCUCAUUUAAUGAGAACACAUAAUUAGAAACAGAAAUUUUGGCGCCAAAGUUUUUUUCCCCCCAAAAUGGUUUUCCCUCCAAAAAAAGUUUCCCACCAAAAAGAAUUUCCCGUAACAAAAUUUUUCCCAACUAAAAACUUCAUUUAAAAACCCUUGUAAAUCAUUUUAAAACCUCUUAAAAUCUUUAUACAAUCUUUAAAUACAUAUAAAAAUACUUUAAAAACCUUUGUAAAUCAUUUUAUAACCUUUUACAAUGGUUUUAAAAGAUUUACAAGAGUUUUUAAGAAGUUUUAAAAGGAUUUUAAAUCCUUUUAAAAUCUUAUUAAAACUCUUAUAAAGUCUUUAAAUCAUUUUUAA